CUGUGACAUACCUAUACGUUGCCUCGGCGGAUCAGCCCGCGCCCCGUAAAAAGGGACGGCCCGCCCGAGGACCCCUAAACUCUGUUUUUAGUGGAACUUCUGAGUAAAACAAACAAAUAAAUCAAAACUUUCAACAACGGAUCUCUUGGUUCUGGCAUCGAUGAAGAACGCAGCAAAAUGCGAUAAGUAAUGUGAAUUGCAGAAUUCAGUGAAUCAUCGAAUCUUUGAACGCACAUUGCGCCCGCCAGUAUUCUGGCGGGCAUGCCUGUUCGAGCGUCAUUUCAACCCUCAAGCUCAGCUUGGUGUUGGGACUCGCGGUAACCCGCGUUCCCCAAAUCGAUUGGCGGUCACGUCGAGCUUCCAUAGCGUAGUAAUCAUACACCUCGUUACUGGUAAUCGUCGCGGCCACGCCGUAAAACCCCAACUUCUGAAUGUUGACCUCGGAUCAGGUAGGAAUACCCGCUGAACUUAAGCAUAUC
rnacentral:rRNA from 1 species